GCUGUGACUGAAUCGAUGAUUGAGAGGGUCGUCUCGACGAAAGAUAUAGAAAUUUGGCCAUAGUUUAGAUUAGGAAUACGUCAAUGUAAUAAUAGUGGACUAAAUGUUUCGUCCGUGCAGAAUGGCACUUUUUACCUCACGAAAUUCACCACCAUGCAUAGCUGCGCUACGUAAACAAAGUUGUUGAUGUAGCGUGAUCGUCAUGUCCGAGUGCUGCGAGUUUCAAUACUGUUUAUGUAGUCAUUGAGAGUUUAAACAAAGUUUCUUCUGAGAAGAGGAAUUCGAUGGAUGCAUUCAACGUGGACAACGAAAUCAUAAUUUCGUUUGCAUCAUCCUAAGGACCAGUGCAAGUUGAAAUGGGCUUCCAGCCAACAGCUUCAACAGCAAUUUGCCAUGAAAAUCAGCAAGAAAGGUACUUCAUUUACAUUGAUGAUGUCAUAUCCCCUGGACCCCACAACUUUACAGGUUACAGAGAAAAUUCAAGAACUUCUGCAAAAUGUGGGACUUGGAUAGAAUCAAUAAUGUAUUUGUGAGCCCAGAGCAAUGGAUAUAUUGUGCAACAUACUAAAGUGUGAAUUUAAUGGAAAACAAGUACAUGUACUCAUGUAUUACAUGUCUUUUUUAAAGACAAUAAUAUUGUAUAAAUAUA